rnacentral:rRNA from 1 species
AGUGAACGCUGGCGGUAGGCCUAACACAUGCAAGUCGAACGGCAGCACGGUAAGAGCUUGCUCUUACGGGUGGCGAGUGGCGGACGGGUGAGGAAUACAUCGGAAUCUACUUUUUCGUGGGGGAUAACGUAGGGAAACUUACGCUAAUACCGCAUACGACCUACGGGUGAAAGCAGGGGACCUUCGGACCUUGCGCGAUUGAAUGAGCCGAUGUCGGAUUAGCUAGUUGGCGGGGUAAAGGCCCACCAAGGCGACGAUCCGUAGCUGGUCUGAGAGGAUGAUCAGCCACACUGGAACUGAGACACGGUCCAGACUCCUACGGGAGGCAGCAGUGGGGAAUAUUGGACAAUGGGCGCAAGCCUGAUCCAGCCAUACCGCGUGGGUGAAGAAGGCCUUCGGGUUGUAAAGCCCUUUUGUUGGGAAAGAAAAGCAGCAGGUUAAUACCCCGCUGUUCUGACGGUACCCAAAGAAUAAGCACCGGCUAACUUCGUG